rnacentral:rRNA from 1 species
CGCAAGAGAACCGGAACACAGGUGCUGCAUGGCUGUCGUCAGCUCGUGUCGUGAGAUGUUGGGUUAAGUCCCGCAACGAGCGCAACCCUUGUCAUUAGUUGCUACAUUCAGUUGGGCACUCUAAUGAGACUGCCGGUGACAAGCCGGAGGAAGGUGGGAUGACGUCAAGUCCUCAUGGCCCUUAUAGGUGGGGCUACACACGUCAUACAAUGGCUGGUACAAAGGGUUGCCAACCCGCGAGGGGGAGCCAAUCCCAUAAAGCCAGUCGUAGUCCGGAUCGUAGUCUGCAACUCGACUACGUGAAGUCGGAAUCGCUAGUAAUUGUGGAUCAGAAUGUCACGGUGAAUACGUUCCCGGGUCUU